rnacentral:sRNA from 1 species
CUGAACUCCCUGCUCAUAGUAGUGGCCAAGUAAUUCGGUGCAUUUCACUAAAUCUACUCCUGGGUUUAACACCCUCCUUUAGGAUUAAUGAGGAGAGAAUUUGGGACKGRUUAGCAGGSUACCCAACACGGAGAGAAAAAGGAACAUGCCCAUAGCACACUGGCAACCACGYACAGUUAACAGUGGGAAAUGUAGUUGAGUUUUUCUUGUAAGAACUCAGACUGUAAAUACCUGAGGCUUUGUGGGCUGUUGGUCUCAGUUGCAUAUUCUUUUAAAAAGAAAACAAACCUUUUCAGAAGGUAAGAAUCCYUCGUUGGCCUAUUGCCUGGACUAGCCCAAGCCCUGAUAUAAAUGCCAGAGAAUAUGUCUGAAUAACAGUCAUUUCCUUCUCGAUAUCUAUCUAUCUUUGUGCUAAAUACUAAGGAUGUGAUACUUAAUUGUGGUCACUUCCGGGUAUAAACAGGAAGAUGUUACCGGGUAACAUGAAAAUAUAAAUACACUUUGUAAACCAUAAAGCACAUUAAAACUUCUUAGUGUUGAAUGAAUGUGUAUUACUUAGUAAAUGCAUUCUACUGGUCUAYGUGCUAUGGAUACMAUAUGGAUACAAAUGACUGCUGUAGGAAUAACAGAGUAAAACAUGCUGUKUAAAAAMUAUAUAAACAUAAUAUGGCUUGAAUGAAAAAUAAUCCAUAUACUUAAGGCCAAUGUGUUUUUACUGCUUUGGUGAUUUUCAGUAAAAUACAUUAUACCAGGUAGCAGAARCGAAAACACAUG